rnacentral:lncRNA from 1 species
GCCGCCGAAGUUUCUAAGAUGGCGGCUAGUAAUUAUUAUGGAUUCACACAUGCAGCCGCAGCUGCCGCCGCCGGCCCGCAGUACAGGGUUGAAAACCGGCUACGGUACGACGAGCACAGCAUACAGUCAGCC